UCUUGAGAGCGGCGGACGGGUGAGUAAUGCCUAGGAAUCUGCCUAGUGGUGGGGGAUAACGUUCGGAAACGGACGCUAAUACCGCAUACGUCCUACGGGAGAAAGCGGGGGAUCUUCGGACCUCGCGCCAUUAGAUGAGCCUAGGUCGGAUUAGCUAGUUGGUGAGGUAAUGGCUCACCAAGGCGACGAUCCGUAACUGGUCUGAGAGGAUGAUCAGUCACACUGGAACUGAGACACGGUCCAGACUCCUACGGGAGGCAGCAGUGGGGAAUAUUGGACAAUGGGCGAAAGCCUGAUCCAGCCAUGCCGCGUGUGUGAAGAAGGUCUUCGGAUUGUAAAGCACUUUAAGUUGGGAGGAAGAGUUGUAGAUUAAUACUCUGCAAUUUUGACGUUACCGACAGAAUAAGCACCGGCUAACUUCGUGCCAGCGGCCGCGGUAAUACGAAGGGUGCAAGCGUUAAUCGGAAUUACUGGGCGUAAAGCGCGCGUAGGUGGUUCGUUAAGUUGGAUGUGAAAGCCCCGGGCUCAACCUGGGAACUGCAUCCAAAACUGGCGAGCUAGAGUACGGUAGAGGGUGGUGGAAUUUCCUGUGUGGCGCUGAAAUGCGUAGAUAUAGGAAGGAACACCAGUGGCGAAGGCGACCACCUGCACUGAUACUGACACUGAGGUGCGAAAGCGUGGGGAGCAAACAGGAUUAGAUACCCUGU
rnacentral:rRNA from 2 species